rnacentral:rRNA from 1 species
AGAAUCAACGCUGGCGGCGUGCCUAACACAUGCAAGUCGCACGAGAAAGGGGAGCAAUCCCUGAGUACAGUGGCGCACGGGUGAGUAACACGUGAAUGAUCUACCUCCGAGUGGGGAAUAACUGAGAGAAAUCUUAGCUAAUACCGCAUAAUACCCACGGGUCAAAGCAGUAAUGCGCUUGGAGAGGAGUUCGCGGCAGAUUAGUUAGUUGGCGGGGUAAUGGCCCACCAAGACGAUGAUCUGUAUCCGGCCUGAGAGGGCGCACGGACACACUGGAACUGAAACACGGUCCAGACUCCUACGGGAGGCAGCAGUGGGGAAUUUUGCGCAAUGGGGAAACCCUGACGCAGCAACGCCGCGUGGAGGAUGAAGCCCCUUGGGGUGUAAACUCCUUUCGAUCGGGAAGAUAAUGACGGUACCGAUAUAAGAACGCCCGGCUAACUCGUGCCAGCAGCCGC